rnacentral:tRNA from 1 species
UGACCUCAUGGUGCAACGGCUAGCAUAGGAGACUUUUAAUCUCCUGACGAGGGUUCGAUUUCCUUUGAGGGCGU